rnacentral:rRNA from 1 species
AUGUCAAAUCAUCAUGCCCUUUAUGUCCUGGGCUACACACGUACUACAAUGGUCGUAACAGAGGGAAGCGAGAUAGAGAUAUUGAGCCAAACCCAAAAAGCGAUCUCAGUUCGGAUUGAAGGCUGAAAUUCGCCUACAUGAAGAUGGAAUUGCUAGUAAUGGCAGGUCAGCAUACUGCCGUGAAUACGUUCCCGGGCCUU